CCCUCUGGGGCGCAGCAGAUGAAGCUCAUGAAUAACGGCGAGGCCCGUAUCGUAAGACGGAAGCUGAUGGAGCUCACCGAAAUUGAAAAUGCGUUGAAGAUCGUCAGAAACAGGCUUGUUCAGGCAAACUUGAGACUCGUGAUUACUAUUGCCAAGAAAUACCUCAACCGGGGCUUAUCCUUCCUUGACCUUAUCCAGGAAGGAAACAUGGGGCUCAUGAAAGCUGCUGAAAAAUAUGAUUAUCAGAGGGGUUUCAAGUUCUCUACAUACUCAACAUGGUGGAUCAGGCAGGCGAUUACACGGGCAAUUGCAGAUUGCGCACGGACUAUCCGGGUACCGGUCCACAUACUUGAAACCAAGAAUAAGAUCAGCAAGGCUAGCGUAGCUCUCUUCCAGGAAUUGGCGGGGGGGC
rnacentral:rRNA from 1 species